CUCAGUGUGCAUCUUGGGUUGAAAGUAGAACAAAAUUAAUUUCCAUUGCCUCAACAAGACAAUGGACUGUAACGCCUCCACAUUGAAUGUGAAAUUAAAUGAACUGAUGAAAGAGUGCAUGUAGGCCUACUCCCAUAUUGAUGGUUGAUUGGUCAAAUAAUGAACCUGUCACUGUAAGCAGGGAGAGAACGUGAUUAGGAAGAGGAACCAAAAUGGCCGCCAAGGAAACAUGAUGCGUCUCUGACAGGAAACUGGAAACAAGAAAUACAUCAACACUGGCUUGGGAGGCAAAAGUGGAGUCAGGCGUCCUCCGAAACAUGACCCGCCUAACAGCGCUCCUUAACACCCGCCAGCUGAACCCGGAAGACCGGGGUCAGCCUGCAGGCACCCGGCCCGCCACAAGGAGUCGCUAGAGAGCGAUGAGCCAAGUAAAAGCUCCCCCGGCCAAACCCUCCCUAACCCGGACGAUGCUGAGCCAAUUGCGCACCGUCCUAUGGGACUCCUGGCCACGGCCGGAUGUGGCACAACCCGGGAAUGAACCCGGGUCUGUAGUUACGCCGCCUUAGACUGCAGCGCCACUCGGCAGGCCAGAAUGAAGCUUAAUUUUGACUCCGCUUUGGAUAAACCGCCCCAAAAGGGAACUCUGUUCAAGUAUACAGUGAAUCUUGUUGUACGAUUAAAAAAAAAGAUUAUAUCACAAUCAACAUCUCAGUAAUCAACUGGUAGCUAGCAUUUACAGAGAAAACCUACAUAAGAGCAUUUAGUUAAAGUUGUUGUCUUGACGGUUUCACCCUGGAAUACUGAAAGGUCUGAACACAGCGAGCUGCCAAUGGAGGAAACAUUAAUCACAGUCCCAACUACUCUAAAACCUUUGAUGUUGCUUGUUUCUUGCUGUGUUUCCUACAAUAAAACGGGU
rnacentral:lncRNA from 1 species